GUCAGUAUAGCUCAGUUGGUAAAGUGUCUCUCCUAUAAUUGAGACGACGCUGGUUCAACCCUUGCAAUGGUA